rnacentral:rRNA from 1 species
GGUUAAGCGACUAAGCGUACACGGUGGAUGCCCUGGCAGUCAGAGGCGAUGAAGGACGUGCUAAUCUGCGAUAAGCGCCGGUAAGGUGAUAUGAACCGUUAUAACCGGCGAUUUCCGAAUGGGGAAACCCAGUGUGACUCGUCACACUAUCAUUAACUGAAUCCAUAGGUUAAUGAGGCGAACCGGGGGAACUGAAACAUCUAAGUACCCCGAGGAAAAGAAAUCAACCGAGAUUCCCCCAGUAGCGGCGAGCGAACGGGGAGGAGCCCAGAGCCUGAAUCAGCAUGUGUGUUAGUGGAAGCGUCUGGAAAGGCGCGCGAUACAGGGUGACAGCCCCGUACACAAAAGCGCAUGUGCUGUGAGCUCGAUGAGUAGGGCGGGACACGUGGUAUCCUGUCUGAAUAUGGGGGGACCAUCCUCCAAGGCUAAAUACUCCUGACUGACCGAUAGUGAACCAGUACCGUGAGGGAAAGGCGAAAAGAACCCCGGCGAGGGGAGUGAAAAAGAACCUGAAACCGUGUACGUACAAGCAGUGGGAGCACCCUUUGGGGUGUGACUGCGUACCUUUUGUAUAAUGGGUCAGCGACUUAUAUUCUGUAGCAAGGUUAACCGAAUAGGGGAGCCGCAGGGAAACCGAGUCUUAAUUGGGCGUUAAGUUGCAGGGUAUAGACCCGAAACCCGGUGAUCUAGCCAUGGGCAGGUUGAAGGUUGGGUAACACUAACUGGAGGACCGAACCGACUAAUGUUGAAAAAUUAGCGGAUGACCUGUGGCUGGGGGUGAAAGGCCAAUCAAACCGGGAGAUAGCUGGUUCUCCCCGAAAGCUAUUUAGGUAGCGCCUCGUGAAUUCAUCUCCGGGGGUAGAGCACUGUUUCGGCUAGGGGGCCAUCCCGGCUUACCAACCCGAUGCAAACUGCGAAUACCGGAGAAUGUUAUCACGGGAGACACACGGCGGGUGCUAACGUCCGUCGUGAAGAGGGAAACAACCCAGACCGCCAGCUAAGGUCCCAAAGUCAUGGUUAAGUGGGAAACGAUGUGGGAAGGCCCAGACAGCCAGGAUGUUGGCUUAGAAGCAGCCAUCAUUUAAAGAAAGCGUAAUAGCUCACUGGUCGAGUCGGCCUGCGCGGAAGAUGUAACGGGGCUAAACCAUGCACCGAAGCUGCGGCAGCGACACUGAUGCGUUGUUGGGUAGGGGAGCGUUCUGUAAGCCUGUGAAGGUGGCCUGUGAGGGUUGCUGGAGGUAUCAGAAGUGCGAAUGCUGACAUAAGUAACGAUAAAGCGGGUGAAAAGCCCGCUCGCCGGAAGACCAAGGGUUCCUGUCCAACGUUAAUCGGGGCAGGGUGAGUCGACCCCUAAGGCGAGGCCGAAAGGCGUAGUCGAUGGGAAACGGGUUAAUAUUCCCGUACUUGGUGUUACUGCGAAGGGGGGACGGAGAAGGCUAUGUUGGCCGGGCGACGGUUGUCCCGGUUUAAGCGUGUAGGUGUGUGUUCCAGGUAAAUCCGGUUCACUUUAACACUGAGGCGUGAUGACGAGGCACUACGGUGCUGAAGCAACAAAUGCCCUGCUUCCAGGAAAAGCCUCUAAGCAUCAGGUAACAUCAAAUCGUACCCCAAACCGACACAGGUGGUCAGGUAGAGAAUACCAAGGCGCUUGAGAGAACUCGGGUGAAGGAACUAGGCAAAAUGGUGCCGUAACUUCGGGAGAAGGCACGCUGACACGUAGGUGAAGUGAUUUACUCACGGAGCUGAAGUCAGUCGAAGAUACCAGCUGGCUGCAACUGUUUAUUAAAAACACAGCACUGUGCAAACACGAAAGUGGACGUAUACGGUGUGACGCCUGCCCGGUGCCGGAAGGUUAAUUGAUGGGGUCAGCGCAAGCGAAGCUCCUGAUCGAAGCCCCGGUAAACGGCGGCCGUAACUAUAACGGUCCUAAGGUAGCGAAAUUCCUUGUCGGGUAAGUUCCGACCUGCACGAAUGGCGUAAUGAUGGCCAGGCUGUCUCCACCCGAGACUCAGUGAAAUUGAACUCGCUGUGAAGAUGCAGUGUACCCGCGGCAAGACGGAAAGACCCCGUGAACCUUUACUAUAGCUUGACACUGAACAUUGAGCCUUGAUGUGUAGGAUAGGUGGGAGGCUUUGAAGUGUGGACGCCAGUCUGCAUGGAGCCGACCUUGAAAUACCACCCUUUAAUGUUUGAUGUUCUAACGUGGACCCGUAAUCCGGGUUGCGGACAGUGUCUGGUGGGUAGUUUGACUGGGGCGGUCUCCUCCUAAAGAGUAACGGAGGAGCACGAAGGUUGGCUAAUCCUGGUCGGACAUCAGGAGGUUAGUGCAAUGGCAUAAGCCAGCUUGACUGCGAGCGUGACGGCGCGAGCAGGUGCGAAAGCAGGUCAUAGUGAUCCGGUGGUUCUGAAUGGAAGGGCCAUCGCUCAACGGAUAAAAGGUACUCCGGGGAUAACAGGCUGAUACCGCCCAAGAGUUCAUAUCGACGGCGGUGUUUGGCACCUCGAUGUCGGCUCAUCACAUCCUGGGGCUGAAGUAGGUCCCAAGGGUAUGGCUGUUCGCCAUUUAAAGUGGUACGCGAGCUGGGUUUAGAACGUCGUGAGACAGUUCGGUCCCUAUCUGCCGUGGGCGCUGGAGAACUGAGGGGGGCUGCUCCUAGUACGAGAGGACCGGAGUGGACGCAUCACUGGUGUUCGGGUUGUCAUGCCAAUGGCACUGCCCGGUAGCUAAAUGCGGAAGAGAUAAGUGCUGAAAGCAUCUAAGCACGAAACUUGCCCCGAGAUGAGUUCUCCCUGAGACUUAGAGUCUCCUGAAGGAACGUUGAAGACGACGACGUUGAUAGGCCGGGUGUGUAAGCGCAGCGAUGCGUUGAGCUAACCGGUACUAAUGAACCGUGAGGCUUAACCUU